UUUGUAAAUAAAGUAGUGGUAGGAACUGUUACACACCAGAUGGCCGUAGACAAACGAGGCACGAAGAAGUCAACUGAUCGGUUUGUGGCCUGUAUUUUCGGACGCUUCUUUUUAUCGCUAACUUUCUUUAUUUCAACAAUCACCAUCUACAUGUUACAACCGGUCAGCUUAAAAUGAAGACUGAGUUCAAUUUCUCGUCAAAGGGUUACAAUAAACCCACUCAUUUACACAUCGCAUUGUUUCCUGUUAUAUCUCGUUCAGUUCGUCACAUGUAGACGAUUGAGAUGUGACGUUGUUGAUCAUGUAAAUAUUUUGCUUGCUGAAAGUGCAUUUUACAGAUGAAUGUGGGAGCUGGGCUUCCACUUUACAAUGGCUGCCAUCAAACUUUUAUUCAGGUAUCUGCAUUUCUGGUUCAACAUAAGUUCAAGGAGAGCUUUAUAGUAGGAAAGUGAAACCGUAAGUCAAACAAAGCCAGUGGUAAAUCCAACGAUGACCUUUUCUGAUUUUGUGUGAUAAUAACAAAAAUGCUGUGUUAAAGUAUGUUCUAUUUACGUAGUCGUAACGAAUCGCCGAAUCGGUAAAGCCAAAAAUGUUAGUUGCCGAUCAUUAAUGUAGAGGCAACUGCAUGUAAGUAGUUGAAUCACUUUUGUCCCUACUGCUUGAAGAUCCAUUCGAGCUCAGAAACUUCUAGAUAAAACCUAAUAGCUGAAGGUUGAAGUUUCUACUUUAACAGGUUGUGAAGGUUAAACAGGCUGUGUUUGAUGGAAUUGUUAAAAAUGAACUGAUCAGACAACCUUGGGAGAGAGGUAACCAAAAUGGUUAUUGCUGCCUUGGGAUUAGAAAACAAUUCAUCUGCUGUGAUACUUUUGAAAAUUAAGUACCUUUUAUUUGUUUAUUGCAUUAGAGUUUACUUGUUGUGCUAACUGGAAACCUUUAUAUUUUAUUAUUGCCUUUCUUUUAGAUAUUAUGGAAGGCUUAAUGAUCUUAGCGAUUUUCACCAGGCUUUAUGGAAUCAAAGGGAGAUCUCACGGCAUGAAUUACCCUAAUCGUCGAACUGGAAAAAUUUAAUGCGAUUAACAGCUUCAGACCAUUAACAACCUGUAACUAUUUAGCAACGACGCAUGGCAUUUGUCACUAGGAUAGGCAUUGAAUUCAGUUGCACAUAAGGUAGGUUUGGAAACUAGCAGACCAGGUGGCGAUGAAGCUGAGGUACACUAGGGAGGCUGCACAAAAGAUGGCGUUGGUGUAGCUUUUUUUUACUUUAUUUGAGCGAAAGCUCAAACUCCAAAUAUGAAGUAUAAAGUUCUAACCAAAAAUUUGUCGAAAAUAAGGAUUGUUGAAGAACACGCUCAAGAGAUGGCGUUGAUUGUUGAAGAACAAGCUCAAGAGAUGGCGUUGACCGUUGAAGAACACGCUCAAAAGAUGGCGUGGACUAUGCGGAAAUCGGUCAAGAGAUGGCGUGGAGUAUGCAGAAACCACUCGACAGAUGGCGUUGGUUAUUGCAGAAACCGCUCAACAGAUGGCGUUGGUUGUUGCAAAAACCGCUCAACAGAUGGCGUGGAUUACUGCGAAAACCGCUCGGCAGAUGGCGUGGAUUACUGCGAAAACCGCUCGGCAGAUGGCGUGGGUUGUUGCUGAAACCGCUCGUCAGAUGGGAUGGAAGAUUGCUUAGA